rnacentral:tRNA from 1 species
GGGCCCGUAGCUCAGCACGGAUCAGAGCGCCGGCCUCCGGAGCCGGUGGUCGCGGGUUCAAGUCCCGCCGGGCCCGCCA